AAGUUUGUUCAAAAUCUGAUUACAUUAGCAAUUUCUCAAAUCCAUUGUACUGGCUUUGUAAUUUGAUGACCCACGGUGUCUAUUGACUCAGUCAGUGAAUUUCGUUGUUGUUUUUUUCUUAAAGGAAGAGAAAAAGACCUGACUCUGUUUGGAAAAUGCAAACAUGGAAGAACUCAGAAACAAUAGGUUUCUAGACUGGCUGGAAGAGGUGCCUUCCACCAUGAUUGUAAGUUUCCCGAGGCCGCCCUAGCCAUGUGGAACUAGUUGAGGACAAACUUGGAAAGAAGAAAGUAUUGGUUA
rnacentral:lncRNA from 1 species